AGAAUCAACGCUGGCGGCGUGCCUAACACAUGCAAGUCGAACGAGAAAGUGGAGCAAUCCAUGAGUAAAGUGGCGCACGGGUGAGUAACACGUGACUAACCUACCCUUGAGUGGGGGAUAACCUAGAGAAAUCUGGGCUAAUACCGCAUAAUACCUUCGGGUCAAAGGAGCAAUUCGCUUAAGGAGGGGGUCGCGGCCGAUUAGUUAGUUGGCGGGUAAUGGCCCACCAAGACUAUGAUCGGUAUCCGGCCUGAGAGGGCGCACGGACACACUGGAACUGAAACACGGUCCAGACUCCUACGGGAGGCAGCAGUGGGAAUUUUGCGCAAUGGGGGAAACCCUGACGCAGCAACGCCGCGUGGAGGAUGAAGUCCCUUGGGACGUAAACUCCUUUCGAUCGGGACGAUAAUGACGGUACCGAGAGAAGAAGCCCCGGCUAACUCGCGCCAGCAGCCGC
rnacentral:rRNA from 1 species